UACGUAGGGUGCAAGCGUUGUCCGGAAUUAUUGGGCGUAAAGAGCUUGUAGGCGGCUUGUCGCGUCUGCUGUGAAAUUUCGGGGCUCAACCCCGAACUUGCAGUGGGUACGGGCAGACUAGAGUGUGGUAGGGGAGACUGGAAUUCCUGGUGUAGCGGUGAAAUGCGCAGAUAUCAGGAGGAACACCGGUGGCGAAGGCGGGUCUCUGGGCCGAUACUGACGCUGAGGAGCGAAAGCGUGGGGAGCGAACAGG
rnacentral:rRNA from 1 species